rnacentral:tRNA from 2 species
CAGAUAUUAGUUUAUGAAAAAUAUUAAUUUUGGAGAUUAAAGAUAAAUAUUAUUUAUAUCUGA